rnacentral:rRNA from 1 species
GAUGAACGCUGGCGGCGUGCUUAACACAUGCAAGUCGAACGGAAAGGCCCAAGCUUGCUUGGGUACUCGAGUGGCGAACGGGUGAGUAACACGUGGGUGAUCUGCCCUGCACUUCGGGAUAAGCCUGGGAAACUGGGUCUAAUACCGGAUAGGACGAUGGUUUGGUUGCCAUUGUGGAAAGUUUUUUCGGUGUGGGAUGAGCUCGCGGCCUAUCAGCUUGUUGGUGGGGUAAUGGCCUACCAAGGCGUCGACGGGUAGCCGGCCUGAGAGGGUGUACGGCCACAUUGGGACUGAGAUACGGCCCAGACUCCUACGGGAGGCAGCAGUGGGGAAUAUUGCACAAUGGGCGCAAGCCUGAUGCAGCGACGCCGCGUGGGGGAUGACGGCCUUCGGGUUGUAAACUCCUUUCGCUAGGGACGAAGCGUUUUUGUGACGGUACCUGGAGAAGAAGCACCGGCUAACUACGUG